GCCCGGAUGAUGGAAUCGGUAGACAUAGGAGACUUAAAAUCUCCCGACUGAAAGGUCGUGCCGGUUCAAGUCCGGCUCCGGGCACCA
rnacentral:tRNA from 4 species